UCUGGGUACGGUGGUGCAUACCUGUAAUCUCAGUGACUCAGAAGGCUGAGGCAGGAGAAUCAAGAGUUCCAGGCCAGCCUCAGCAAUUUAGUGAGGCCCUAAGCAACUUAGCAAGACCCUGUCUCAA
rnacentral:sRNA from 1 species